AAGCCCAUGGGCCAGACAGCAUCAGUGGACAGUAAGUGAAUGGGAGCACGGAGGGCCCGUCAACUCAUGAGCGAGGUUAAAGACGCCAUGCGGCAACAUCGCAGAUUAAUACCCUCGUCUCCAACCGUCAGCGAGAGAUUUACGUGCUCUCUGCAGUAAGAAAGAGGCAGAUCAACCUCGGGCCGUUUAUCGCUUGAUUUCUCUCGGGCUGCGGCUGCAGCUGGGGACGGCGGGCGUGUUGCAGGUAGGGGAUUGUGGGAGAAGAUUGAGGGACGCCCGACAGGUGCUAAAGUUUCAAUGCCAGUGAGAAUUGAUCCAAGCUUGGCCCACAUUCCC
ensembl:lncRNA